rnacentral:rRNA from 1 species
GUGGGGAAUAUUGGACAAUGGGCGAAAGCCUGAUCCAGCCAUGCCGCGUGUGUGAAGAAGGUCUUCGGAUUGUAAAGCACUUUAAGUUGGGAGGAAGGGCAGUAAGUUAAUACCUUGCUGUUUUGACGUUACCGACAGAAUAAGCACCGGCUAACUUCGUGCCAGCAGCCGCGGUAAUACGAAGGGUGCAAGCGUUAAUCGGAAUUACUGGGCGUAAAGCGCGCGUAGGUGGUUUUGUAAGUUGGAGGUGAAAUCCCCGGGCUCAACCUGGGAACUGCCUCCAAAACUGCAUGACUAGAGUACGGUAGAGGGUAGUGGAAUUUCCUGUGUAGCGGUGAAAUGCGUAGAUAUAGGAAGGAACACCAGUGGCGAAGGCGACUACCUGGACUGAUACUGACACUGAGGUGCGAAAGCGUGGGGAGCAAACAGGAUUAGAAACCCCGGUAGUCC